GACGAACGCUGGCGGCGUGCUUAACACAUGCAAGUCGAACGGAAAGGCCUUUUCGGAGGUACUCGAGUGGCGAACGGGUGAGUAACACGUGGGUGAUCUGCCCUGCACUCUGGGAUAAGCCUGGGAAACUGGGUCUAAUACCGGAUAGGACCGCACUUUAGUGUGUGUGGUGGAAAGUUUUUUCGGUGUAGGAUGAGCCCGCGGCCUAUCAGCUUGUUGGUGGGGUAAUGGCCUACCGAGGCGGCGACGGGUAGCCGGACUGAGAGGUUGGUCGGCCACAUUGGGACUGAGAUACGGCCCAGACUCCGACGGGAGGCAGCAGUGGGGAAGAUUGCACAAGGGGCGCAAGCCUGAUGCAGCGACGCCGCGUGGGGGAUGACGGCCUUCGGGUUGUAAACUCCUUUCGCCAGGGACGAAGCGUUUUGUGACGGUACCUGGAGAAGAAGCACCGGCUAACUACGUG
rnacentral:rRNA from 1 species